AGCGGCUACGGCUCNCGCGAGCCGCCUCCGCCCAACUUUCUCCCUCGGCUUUCCUAGUUUAUUUUCUUUCAGGCGCCCUAAUGGGCGGUUUUGACUUCUUGGUGGCACUGCGUAAUAAGCCAGUGUCACCCCUCUGACUCCCGUCCCCGCACGCGUGAUCUUGUUAAGGAAUUAGUCCUUUUGCGCGGAGUUCGGUUGAAUGAGAAGAAUAGGUUGGCAGCACAGACUUGUGAGAGGAAGUAGAUGAAAAAGAGUCUUUGGCACUUGUUUAGCCGGAAUCUGAGAAUAAUUUUGGAAAGUAUUCUCUGGAACAAGGGGGUGGGCAGAAGCUGGCUCCUGUAAAAGGACUCCCUACAGGAAAACGGAGACCUGUAAUGUAGAACGACCGCCUCGCCUUACGGAUGGGAAGCUGAGGACAGUCGUCGCUGUAAAACUUUGACAGGUGCCCAAUAUGAGAUGAAAAGAACAAGGGAAACGGGCCUAAGUCGUGUGAUAAGGGGCUCCAGGAAAGAAGCACCCCUCUGAAACUGGCCAGUAAGUCGUGUGAGACAGUGAUGGAGAAGACAGUAUGAGAAACAUGAAAGUUUUCGUUGUCUAAAAGGUAAUGUUGACAGAAUUCAAUAAAAAACUUUAAAAGAG
ensembl:lincRNA 4930426I24Rik RIKEN cDNA 4930426I24 gene